rnacentral:piRNA from 1 species
UUAUAUCCCGGAAUAAGUGGU